rnacentral:rRNA from 1 species
GACGUAGGGGGCCAGCGUUGUUCGGAAUUACUGGGUGUAAAGGGUUCGUAGGCGGUGUGGCAAGUCGGGAGUGAAAUCUCUGGGCUCAACCCAGAGUCUGCUUCCGAAGCUGCUGUGCUUGAGUGUGGGAGAGGCGCGUGGAAUUGCAGGUGUAGCGGUGAAAUGCGUAGAUAUCUGCAGGAACACCCGUGGCGAAAGCGGCGCGCUGGACCACUACUGACGCUGAGGAACGAAAGCUAGGGGAGCAAACAGG